rnacentral:rRNA from 1 species
UGGGCUCACCAAGGCGACGAUCCGUAACUGGUCUGACGAGGAUGAUCAGUCACACUGGAACUGAGACACGGUCCAGACUCCUACGGGAGGCAGCAGUGGGGAAUAUUGGGACAAUGGGCGAAAGCCUGAUCCCAGCCAUGCCGCGUGUGUGAAGAAGGUCUUCGGAUUGUAAAGCACUUUAAGUUGGGAGGAAGGGUUGUAGAUUAAUACUCUGCAAUUUUGACGUUACCGACAGAAUAAGCACCGGGCUAACUCUGUGCCAGCAGCCGCGGGUAAAUA